rnacentral:rRNA from 1 species
UACGUAGGGUGCGAGCGUUAAUCGGAAUUACUGGGCGUAAAGCGUGCGCAGGCGGUUCUGAAAGUCAGCUGUGAAAGCCCCGGGCUUAACCUGGGAAUUGCGGUUGAAACUACAGGGCUAGAAUCUGGCAGAGGGGGGUGGAAUUCCACGUGUAGCAGUGAAAUGCGUAGAUAUCUGGAGGAACACCGGUGGCGAAGGCGGCAUCCUGGACCGGCACUGACGCUGAUGAGCGAAAGCCAGGGGAGCAAACGGG